GAAAUGCGAUAAGUAAUGUGAAUUGCAGAAUUCAGUGAAUCAUCGAAUCUUUGAACGCAGCUUGCGCUCCUUGGUAUUCCUUGGAGUAUGCCUGUUUGAGUAUCAUGAAAUCUUCAAAGUAAAUCUUUUGUUAACUCAAUUGGUUUCUACUUUGGUAUUGGAGGUCUUUGCAGCUUCACACCUGCUCCUCUUUGUUCAUUAGCUGGAUCUCAGUGUUAUGCUUGGUUCCACUCGGCGUGAUAAGUUAUCUAUCGCUGAGGACACUGUAAAAGGUGGCCAAGGUAAAUGCAGAUGAACCGCUUCUAAUAGUCCAUUGACUUGGACAAUACUUUUAUGAUCUGAUCUCAAAUCAGGUAGGACUACCCGCUGAACUUAAGC
rnacentral:misc_RNA from 1 species